ACCUUAGUACGCUGGGCAUUGGCCGUAUUCGGGGUGUAAGUUCCGACGGCCGAGGUGUAAGUCUGACGGCACUAAGUCCCACACAUAAGUCCAGGGGCGUUUUACGAGUGUUCCGCCCCGGUGCGAGGCCCGACCGAGUCCUAAUUCUGCCUUUUAAGACAGAGGUUGAUACAAAUCAGAAUUAGCUGGUUACAAAGCAGAGUGGAAAAUAGAAGUGUACAGUGAAAGCAGGGAAAUAUUUAUGAAGGAACUACUGUAAGACAGAAAGGUUUAGUAAAAGCAGUGAAAUAUGAACUACUGUAAGAGUUUCAUUCGGCUGAUAAAAUUGUUUCCUUAUAGGGAAGUUAAUGUAAGUGACUGUAGAGGAAAUGUUAGAAGUACAAAAUAACAUGAAUUGGUCUGUCUGGGCACACCGUUAAAAUUUUUAUAUCGUUUGGUUAUACGGAGUAUUACCUAGCUAUUCCGACGGUAACCUGAAGAAUUGUAUUAGUGCUAUAUAUAUGUAAUGGUAUCAAAAUCAUGCGUAUCCGCGCAAUGUAUAGCAUAACAGGCGGAUAAUGUUAUAUAUUGUGAGGAAUCAUGAUUGUAUCUGUGAAGACGAACACUGCAGUUUACAAUUGAAGUUGCGGACAAAGUAGGCAACACUCAAGUUUUGCCUUGGGCACUUACAUUUUUGGCUGUCAUUAGCUGAAGAUAUAGCAGAAUUGUCGUUGGCAGGGAUCACUGGUAGUUCCCAAUUGAAUGGGAAAUAGUUGUAUGUGAAAAGAACCUUCAUAAAUAACCACUACACAUAUCAAAUGAGAAAAUACAGAUCAGUUGUAUUAUCUUUCGGUCAUCUACGUUAUCCAUACGUUGCAGUGAACCAAAAAAACUGGCUUAUUCCAGACAAAACAUUAGGACAUGUAAGGCUUUGGUAUUAUGACAAUUCAUUACAGUACCAUUAAAACAUGUGAAUCCGGGUUUCAGUCUAAUGUAAUUUAACAGAUUUAAUGCCAAUUUGAUUAAUAUUAUAUUUUGUUGCAGGAAAUGAAAGGUAACAGUAAAACGAGAGAGAAAUGAUUGUUUUUCAUAGCUGAAGUAUCCAUAAUUUACUUCUAGUCGACUCGAACGAAUGAGUAAGUAGGCAUGCAGGAGUUGCCAUCCCUUCCUCUUUUACUUCGG
rnacentral:lncRNA from 1 species